GGGGUGGUAGCUCAAUUGGUUAGAGCGCUGCCCUGUCACGGCAGAGGUCGCGGGUUCGAGUCCCGUCCAUCCCGCCA
rnacentral:tRNA from 1 species